UAAGGCGACUAUACUGAUGGUGCUCCACCUGAUCCCAUUCCGAACUCAGAAGUGAAAUCCAUCAAGGCUGAUGAUAGCGAUUAUUCGCAAAAGUAAGUAGUCGCCCUAC
rnacentral:rRNA from 1 species